rnacentral:rRNA from 1 species
GAUGAACGCUGGCGGCGUGCCUAAUACAUGCAAGUCGAGCGAACAGACGAGGAGCUUGCUCCUCUGACGUUAGCGGCGGACGGGUGAGUAACACGUGGAUAACCUACCUAUAAGACUGGGAUAACUUCGGGAAACCGGAGCUAAUACCGGAUAAUAUAUUGAACCGCAUGGUUCAAUAGUGAAAGACGGUUUUGCUGUCACUUAUAGAUGGAUCCGCGCCGCAUUAGCUAGUUGGUAAGGUAACGGCUUACCAAGGCAACGAUGCGUAGCCGACCUGAGAGGGGGAAACGCACACAGAGGAAAGGAAAAAGGGUCAAAACCAUUAGGGAAGGCAAGGAAGGGAAAAUUACCGAAAGGGGGAAAAGCCAAAAGGGGAAAGGCGGGGGAAGGAAUGAGGGGCUGGGGAAGGAAAAACUUUGUAAUAAGGGAAGAAAAAAUGUAAAAGUAAAUAGGAAGGUUUUGAGGGUACAAAAUAAAAAAGCCAAGACAAACAACGU